GUAAGCGUAUCUACCGCUAGAGACAAAAGGAUAACGACCGAGAUAGAUAAAAGUAUGAUUCAAGAAAUAUAGAUUUUUUGAGAAACUCAUUACAAAGUUGAGUUUUGAGAAUUAUAGAACGAAUUAUCUAAAUAUCCGCAAGCAACUGGGAGCGAGUACACAAGGCAAACUGACUGAUUGUAUUUAACAUAGAAAAUGUUAGCGCAAUCCUUGUCGUCCACAAUCGAAGUUGUCGCAUAGCCUCCACAUGACACACCUGGAUAGCUAUAUGUCACCCGCUUGGAAAUAAACUAAUAGUGCGUACAGCGAGUCCUAUCCCCAGGACUUUAAAUUUAGGUUUUGCACAGAAUUUGGCAUCCGUUACGUAAAAUUAGUCGCCAGUGAAUGACGUAAGACUGCUUCGGAAGUGGAACUUGAAUGUUGAUGAUCCUCGCAAACGAACCAAAGCCAAUGAAUGGAGAAAAUGCUGAGAGAUCCUAAAUAUAAAAUUAUUUCAAUAGGAAAUAAUUGUUUUCUUAUUGAAACCUAAAGUUUUUAAGACCA